rnacentral:rRNA from 1 species
UACAGAGGUCUCAAGCGUUGUUCGGAUUCAUUGGGCGUAAAGGGAGCGUAGGUGGCGGGGUUAGUCAGGUGUGAAAUCUCGGGGCUCAACCCCCGAAACUGCACUUGAUACUGCCUUGCUAGAGUACUGGAGAGGAGAUUGGAAUUUACGGUGUAGCAGUGAAAUGCGUAGAUAUCGUAAGGAAGACCAGCGGCGAAGGCGAAUCUCUGGACAGUUACUGACACUGAGGCUCGAAGGCCAGGGGAGCAAACGGG